UACGUAGGCAGCGAGCGUUGUUCGGAGUUACUGGGCGUAAAAGGGUGUGUAGGCGGUUGCUUAAGUUUGGUGUGAAAUCUCCCGGCUCAACUGGGAGGGUGCGCCGAAUACUGAGUGACUCGAGUGCGGGAGAGGAGAGUGGAAUUCCUGGUGUAGCGGGUGAAUGCGUAGAUAUAGGAGGAACACCGGUGGUGUAGACGGCUGCUCUGGACCGUAACUGA
rnacentral:rRNA from 1 species